GUGCGAUAACUAGUGUGAAUUGCAUAUUCAGUGAAUCAUCGAGUCUUUGAACGCAACUUGCGCUCAUUGGUAUUCCAAUGAGCACGCCUGUUUCAGUAUCAAAACAAACCCUCUAUCCAACAUUUUUGUUGAAUAGGAAUACUGAGAGUCUCUUGAUCUUUUCUGAUCUCGAACCUCUUGAAAUGUACAAAGGCCUGAUCUUGUUUGAAUGCCUGAACUUUUUUUUAAUAUAAAGAGAAGCUCUUGCGGUAAACUGUGCUGGGGCCUCCCAAAUAAUACUCUUUUUAAAUUUGAUCUGAAAUCAGGCGGGAUUACCCGCUGAACUUAA
rnacentral:misc_RNA from 1 species